UAAAUAACUUGGUUGACUCGUCUCACAUAAAUGACUAUUAAAUUACCCCGUAUGCAAUGUAUGACGGAAAUGGCUAGCAAGUGAAAGAGUUUGACAAGAUAAUGGAAUGGGACUUUAAAAAUGCUAAUUGUUUUGUUUUGUUUUUACAGGGAGUGAGUUUACAGGAAACCCUUACGUCAGUCCACAGUACACAACCUACAACGAGGCAGGCGGUUCAGCAACCCGGCGUUACUAAUGCCACAUCCAGAGGUUCCGGACCACCUACUGCUGCCACGGCAUAUGACCGCCACUAGUUACCACGGAAACCAAAUCAACCACCACCACCACCUACACCACGACUACAACCACGGCUUCGGCAGCGUCCAUGUUGCCCCGGUGUGAACAGAGGGCAUGAGGGGAUACCGUUAAGACAGCUAACAGGCAGCUCCAUUUCCUGUAUACUACACUACUACACACAACAGAAGAAGAACUGUCCUCCUGGAUACCACACUACUACACACAACAGAAGAAGAACUGUCCUCCUGGAUACCACACUACUACACACAACAGAAAAAUACCUGAUCGUUCGGGACAACUUCCCAUCAACCAUGAAUUUGGAUACCUUCAAAGUAGUGAAAAAUGUAAAAUUCUUCAUUCUGAUCUGUGUGACUGUACAUUACCACUAGAGACUUUGAAAGACUAUAUAUACGUGAUACUACUGAGGUUACUGAGGUUUAAAAAAAUAAUAAUAAGAAAAACUAAACGUUUUGAAAAUGACAAGGAGGAAUUUGUAUCUUUUCCUUUUUUGUAACGGUCCUCCGUUUGUUUUUCCUCCUUCGUGGAUGAAAACUUCACUUGACUGAUCUGUCGGCUGACGGAGGAACCCGUCCUGAGCUGAGAGUCCAGUACAGUAUAGUAGCAGGCUGYUGUUCUCUUCCUUCUGCAUCGGUCUGAACCUUCUACUCAAAGGGCAGUGCAAUGAGAUCCAUGCUAAAGACAUUGGCGUCGAUGCGACUAAGGCUGCCGCAGCUUGGUUCUACUCCUCUGUUACAAAACAAACGUACCGUCAUUUUGUAACCAACCAAACGUUCAGCAUGAUUAAAUGAAUCAGUUGCUUCUUUUAAUGAUGAUGCCAGGAGCAGAUUAUAAGGCGGUGUUCUCUGUGAUACACAAUCAGACAGGGGUUAAAAGAAAAGAAAAAAGAAAAGGCAGAAUUAAUAAAUGAGAAGGACAUCGUGACAUACCGUGGUCUUUUCAUUUACAAGAUUUAAAAAAACAAAAAAAAACUAGUAAAUAUAUUCUUAAAGAUUUUUUUAUUUUGUUUUUAUAAUUGUUAUUGACAUCAAUAAUUAAUUGCAGAUAUUAUGCUUGACUUUCUGUUGUUGUCAUUUUUAUUUGUCAGGAUACUAGAAAUAAUCAGGCAGAAUCUAUUUUGUAUUUGUUUUUAAUUUUGCACUAUUUUUGAGUUUUGACACACUGGGAGCGUUAUUAUGCAGACUUUGACCUGGAGGUUGGACACACUGGGAGCGUUAUUAUGCAGGCGUUUGAACCCGGAUGCCUAUUUGUCUUGUUUUACAGUAUAUUAUUAUCUUUGAAGAACCGUUCAAAGGAAGAAGAAACGUAGAACCAUAACUUCAUCAUAACCUUUUGGUCUGGAAAAGGCACUUCAGAAGUCGCUGCUUCCUGCUUCCUGUUGACCAUUUCAUUCACUUCCCAGUAGCAUUAUGGAGUCCUGUUGACCAUUUCAUUCACCACUUCCCAGUAGCAUUAUGGAGUUCUGUUGACCAUUUCAUUCACUUCCCAGUAGCAUUAUGGAGUCCUGUUGACCAUUUCAUUCACUUCCCAGUAGCAUUAUGGAGUCCUGUUGACCAUUUCAUUCACUUCCCAGUAGCAUUAUGGAGUCUGUUGACCUUUCAUUCACUUCCAGUAGCAUUAUGGAGUCCUGUUGACCAUUUCAUUCACUUCCCAGUAGCAUUAUGGAGUUCUGUUGACCAUUCAUUCACUUCCCAAUAGCAUUAUGGAGUUCUGUUGACCAUUUCAUUCACUUCCCAGUAGCAUUAUGUCUGGAGACGAUUCAGUAACACUACUGCAAUUCACCCAGUUUGUCUCUACCUUACGUAGUACGCUUACUAUCCACACAUACUCAACCCGUGAAGUUAGCUAGCUAACGUUUUAAGUUUGAACCCAAGUCUUUGGCAUUAAGAUAUAGUAUAACAUUUYAUCAAUUAACCUAUUUUCUGUGACUAAACUAAUUUAAUCAUUAAUAGUCAAGUAUGAUGGUUAUUGCUUGCAUCCUGAAUGGCACCCUAUUCCCUUUAUAGUGCACUACUUUUGACCAGAAGUAGUGCGCUACGUAGGGAAUAGGGUGCCAUUUGAUACGCGGACAUAGUAUAGUUUAGUAUAGUAAGUUAAUUCUGAUGUGGCCGUCAUCACAUAAUGACGUGUCGACAAAAGUUUCAACCGAAAGCGAAGGCAAAGAUUUCAGUUAAUGCCUUAAUCAUAUGCAGGUUUUUUUCUUUCUUCGUCAAGGUUUCAACUUCCUAUAUUUGUUUGUUUUUUGUUUUGUCGUAAGACAUCGUGUGACUUAUCCAGUUGGUUUGUCUUGAAAUCACACCAGUAACACCGACCUGGCUGGAAGAACGUGAUCGAACAUUACCUUACAUCGUUUAACUGUCAAGUGAAUGUAUUUUUACCACAUUUGCCAAAGACUUUAGUUCUUGUUUUUCUAUCUACAGCCUGCAUACGUCUGCAUUGUGAGAGCAGUAUUAUAGGGGGAAAAAACACACAAAUUGUCCAAUAUGAAAGUACAUGUAUCAAUUCUAUGCAGAGCAGAGAAGGUCGUCAUUAUUAUGCAUAUUUAGCUGUAAAACCCAUAGGAAGGUGAUUGAAUUUAUUUAAUGUUAUGUUAUUUACAAACUGUUGAUUUAUUUGUAGAAUAAUUUGUGUAUAAUGUGAAAACACUGACUUUCACUCUGUAAAUACAGUCAAAUAAUAUGUACAUCUCUGAUCAUCCGUAUUAUGCCUCUCAUCCACUGGAGUCUCACUGGUACAGUUCAAUAAUAAAGUGUCUAAACUCUUCUAA